rnacentral:rRNA from 1 species
GUGCCAGCAGCUGCGGUAAUACGUAGGGUGCAAGCGUUAUCCGGAAUUAUUGGGCGUAAAGAGCUCGUAGGCGGUUUGUCGCGUCUGCUGUGAAAACCCGAGGCUCAACCUCGGGCCUGCAGUGGGUACGGGCAGACUAGAGUGCGGUAGGGGAGAUUGGAAUUCCUGGUGUAGCGGUGGAAUGCGCAGAUAUCAGGAGGAACACCGAUGGCGAAGGCAGAUCUCUGGGCCGUAACUGACGCUGAGGAGCGAAAGGGUGGGAGCAAACAGGCUUAGAUACCCUGGUAGUCCACCCGUAAACGUUGGGAACUAGUUGUGGGUCCAUUCCACGGAUUCCGUGACGCAGCUAACGCAUU